AAACCAGCACCUCAAGUGGUCAGGAUGAUUAUUGGGCCUAAAGCAUCCGUAGCCUGCUCUGUAAGUUUUCGGUUAAAUCUGUAUGCUCAACAUACAGGCCGCCGGGAAUACUGCAGAGCUAGGGAGUGGGAGAGGUAGACGGUACUCGGGAGGAAGUGGUAAAAUGCUUUGAUCUCUCGAUGACCACCUGUGGGGAAGGCGGUCUACCAGAACACGUCCGACGGUGAGGGAUGAAAGCUGGGGGAGCAAACCGGAUUAGAAACCCGGGUAGUCC
rnacentral:rRNA from 1 species